rnacentral:rRNA from 1 species
UUUGAACUAUUGUCGACCGUACCCCAAACCGCCACAGGUGGGCAAGUGGAGAACACUAAGGCGCUUGAGAGAACUCGGGUUAAGGAAUUAGGCAAAUUGAUACCGUAACUUAGGGAUAAGGUAUGCCACCAUUACGUGAACACCCUGCGGUGGGAGCGGAAGGUGGUCGCAGCGAAGCGGGGGUAGCGACUGUUUACCAAAAACACAGGACUAUGCGAAGCCGUAAGGCGAUGUAUAUGGUCUGACGCCUGCCCGGUGCUGGACGGUUAAGAGGAGUUGUUAGCGAAUGCGAAGCAGCGAAUCGAAGCCCCAGUAAACGGCGGCCGUAACAAUAACGGUCCUAAGGUAGCGAAAUUCCUUGUCGGGUAAGUUCCGACCUGCACGAAUGGCGUAACGACUUCCCCACUGUCUCGACCCGAGACUCAGCGAAAUUGACAUGGGGGUGAAGAUGCCCUCUACCCGCGGAAAGACGGAAAGACCCUGUGAACCUUUACUCUAACUUGGCAGUGAUAUUCGGCUCAAAUUGUGUAGGAUAGGUGGGAGGCAUUGAUAUUGGGACGCCAGUCUCUUUGGAGCCAUCCUUGAAAUACCACCCUGUUUGUUCUGACUAUCUAACCCGCGCGUCGGGGACACUGUCUGGUGGGGAGUUUGACUGGGGCGGUCGCCUCCUAAAGUGUAACGGAGGCGUACAAAGGUUCCCUCAGAUGGAUCGGAAACCCAUCGAAGAGCGCAAUGGCAAAAGGGAGCUUGACUGCGAGAGAGACAUCUCGAGCAGGUGAGAUAAUCAGGUCAUAGUGAUCCGGCGGUCCUGUGUGGAAAGGCCGUCGCUCAACGAAUAAAAGGUACUCCGGGGAUAACAGGCUGAUCCCGCCCAAGAGUUCACAUCGACGGCGGGGUUUGGCACCUCGAUGUCGGCUCAUCGCAUCCUGGGGCUGGAGCAGGUCCCAAGGGUAUGGCUGUUCGCCAUUUAAAGCGGUACGCGAGCUGGGUUCAGAACGUCGUGAGACAGUUCGGUCCCUAUCUUCCNUGGGCGUNGGAGANUUGAGAGGAGCUGNCCNUAGUACGAGAGGACCGGGNUGGACNNACCUNUNGUGUUCCNGUUGUNNCGCCAGNNGCACNGCNGGGUAGCUACGUNNGGAANGGAUAACCGCUGAAAGCAUCUAAGUGGGAAGCCNCCCUCAAGAUNAGNUCUCCCUGAAGGACCCUCGAAGACUACNACGA